rnacentral:tRNA from 1 species
GGCAGGACAGCGUUGCGAUGAUGGUCAGGCUCAUAACCUGAAGGUCAUAGGUUCAAAUCCUGUCCCCGCAACCA